rnacentral:rRNA from 1 species
GUGGGGAAUUUUGGACAAUGGGCGCAAGCCUGAUCCAGCAAUGCCGCGUGCAGGAAGAAGGCCUUCGGGUUGUAAACUGCUUUUGUACGGAACGAAACGGUCCGGGUUAAUACCCUGGGCUAAUGACGGUACCGUAAGAAUAAGCACCGGCUAACUACGUGCCAGCAGCCGCGGUAAUACGUAGGGUGCAAGCGUUAAUCGGAAUUACUGGGCGUAAAGCGUGCGCAGGCGGUUUUGUAAGACAGGCGUGAAAUCCCCGGGCUCAACCUGGGAAUUGCGGUUGUGACUGCAAGGCUGGAGUGCGGCAGAGGGGGAUGGAAUUCCGCGUGUAGCAGUGAAAUGCGUAGAUAUGCGGAGGAACACCGAUGGCGAAGGCAAUCCCCUGGGCCUGCACUGACGCUCAUGCACGAAAGCGUGGGGAGCAAACAGGAUUAGAUACCCGGGUAGUCC